rnacentral:SRP_RNA from 1 species
CCGUGCUAGACGGGGAGCUAGCGGUGCCCUGAACCCGCAAUCCGCUACAGCGGGGUCGAAUUCCCUCCCGCGGGGUUGUGUUCGGCAGAACGGCCCAGGUCGGGCGGCGUUGAAAACUGGGUCCUGCGCAGCAGAGGC